rnacentral:pre_miRNA from 1 species
UCACAGUUCUGGCUGGACCCCAGGCUGGGUUGGGCAAGUAUUUCUUGGAAAGGUUCACCCUCAAGCACAACUAGGCUU